CCUACGGGAGGCAGCAGUGAGGAAUAUUGGUCAAUGGCCGGAAGGCUGAACCAGCCAUGCCGCGUGAAGGUCAGUGCCCUAUGGGCGUUAAACUUCUUUUGUGCGGGAGCAAUAAUGGUCACGUGUGGCCAGACGAGAGUACCGUACGAAUAAGCAUCGACUCACUCCGUGCCAGCAGCCGCGGUAAUACGGGGGAUGCAAGCGUUAUCCGGAUUUAUUGGGUUUAAAGGGUGCGUAGGCUGUGAGGUAAGUCAGCGGUGAAAUGCCCCCGCUCAACGGGGUGAAGUGCCAUUGAUACUGCCUGGCUGGAAUGCGGAUGCCGUGGGAGGAAUGUGUGGUGUAGCGGUGAAAUGCAUAGAUAUCACACAGAACACCGAUUGCGAAGGCAUCUCACGAAUCCGCGAUUGACGCUGAUGCACGAAAGCGUGGGUAUCAAACAGGAUUAGAUACCCUGGUAGUC
rnacentral:rRNA from 1 species